GGGAUGGGAACAGAGGGGGAAUGAAAGUCAGCCGAGGCAAGGAUGCAGCUAGAAAGCAGAGGGGGAAGAAUGAUUCCAUAGGUGGAAAGGAAGGAGACAGGAUCAGAAAGAAAUAGCAGCUGCAGGGUGUGAAGAUAUGGAUCAAGAUUGUGAUUCUCAGCCAGAUUAUAGAAAGCAAGACAUACGUGAAUAUUAAGAUGGUGCUGAAGACAUUUACUGUGCACUAACAGAAUACUUCAGCUCUGGCUCCUACUUCACAGCCCCCGCAUAUGUACUUUGCAGAGAAGGUGCAGAUAUUAUGGCUGGACAGCUUUCAUUUAAAUCAGUUAUAUCUGGUGUAUUGUGUGGCAGAUGUUUGUCUGUUUGUAGUCGGAAGUCCCAUAAUAUUUUUGCAUCUUCAUUUUCGACAACUUUUUCAAUUUUAUGGUCCCACCAAUCUUUGGCUACAGGAAGAAAAUGCAGCCUGCAGCACAGAGGGAUAUGAAACAACUUCCCAUUUCUUUUCCUUCGUUAGUCUGCUUCAUUGGGACCCAAUAGAGACUGUGCUUCUUGUCAGGUUUUGCUCCACAGGGAAGAGAGAGAAGAAGAAAUUGAAAGAAGCAAGAAAAAGAGGAUGCAGGGAAAAGCUGUCACUUCAUACCCCAAGUUUUAUCAUUGCAAACAAAGAAGAGAAAAAUGUCUACUACAUAUAUUACACAUCGCAGUAGUGCUGAGAAAAUGGUGCCAGUAUCAAUUAGUGUGACUCCUGAGUCUGUUCACUUGUUAUUGAAACCAUGGACCCAGGUACAGCACUAAUGGAAGGGCAUACCAAGUCCCUCUACACAUCCUCACUCUCCACACAUACACAUAAUACACUCUUAAACCACACACCCUGCUCUACACACACACACACACACACACACACACACACACACACACACACUGCUGUCUCCCCAGGAUUACAAACAAUGAAUGCCCAGAAUUCUCAGUCAUAAGGCAUCAUUUGUUUUUUUCCAGGCAAACACUGCUUUGUGUGGUUUAAGGGUGUGGUGGUGCAGAGAUGGGGAUCGCUGGUUGCAUUCCCAUGGCACUAGAUCUGAGUAUAGUGGCUGACAUUCUCAUGAAUAAAGCAGCAGUGCCUCUAAUGGACUGCGGGCACUUCACAAGUGCUGCUGUCUUCCAGAUGAAGGCAGUGUAUGUGAAUGAUUGCCACCAGACCCCAAAGAAGAGAGGACACACGUUAAUGGUUUAAACUAGGACCACACUUUAUUAGCUGAACACAGGCGCACAUCUAGGUAACUUUGGAGCCCGGACCUGAAGGGCUUUGGACACACACACCCCACCGGCAUGAGGGCUGGAGGGGAGUUGGAGGGGGGGAGAUAACUCUUUUAAAAAACAAAACAAAAAAACCUUUUCCCUCAACCAUCGCUGUGCAGCAAGGAUGGGAGCAGCCAGUGGGUUGUGCAGGCACUCGAUGGGAGACCAAGGUAGGGGAGGUGGCAGCAAGAGCUCCUUCCCUGAGCCCACCUGCCUUCCAAAUUACAGAUCGGGCCAUUUUCAGGCCAUUUUGAGAGCCCCUAAAUCGGGCAAAAAUCCAGCAGCAAGUUGGAUGGACUCCAUUAUGACAGCAAUGAAUGCACUAAUGAGAGACCUAAUGAGAGGCCAAGUCCAUGGCAGGUCAUCUUGGAGAGAAUCUAUCUGUGUGGUUGCUAAGAAUUGACACGGACUUGAGGGCACUUAAUAAUCAAUCAAUCAAUCAAUCAAUGCAAUGCAAUGAAAUGAAAUGAAGAUGCAGGGACCUUCACAAACUUUGCAGACUCCCUCUCUCUCACACCCAGCUAGUUCAAAAUUUUGUUGCCAAAUGUCUUAUAGCUGUUUCCCUCAUAAACUCAUAGCAAUCUUAUGUUUGUUUAACUAAGCUUUAUUCAGAAAUGUAUCUAUCCCCUUCCUUUUCUUUUCUGACUUCCCCCAUCCUCUACAGACACAACUGUAUCCCCAGCUCAGCAUCCCUCCAGUACCUGUUGCUGUUCUCUUAUCUUAUGUUUCUUUUUAAGAAUGUGAGCCCUUUGGGGACAGAGAUCCUGUCUGUGUCUGUGUCUGUGUCUGUGUUGCUUUGGGGAUUUUUGUUUAAAAGUGGUAUAUAAAUAUUUGUAGUAAUAGUCGGAUCCCCACAAGGACAAACUCCUAAUUGACAAAAUAUAAAAGCUUGCUAGACAGAAUACAA